UUGUAGCUAACGCCUAACAGAGCCAAACCUUCCUUCGCUCUUUGCUCUUCCCAACUAAGAAAGGAACAAACCUCCAACGGAGAAGAAAACAGGACAGCGAAGGACUUCGAAGGGAGGAAAACAGGGGCCUGCUACUGCGUGGCUGCGCUUCUACAAUGAAGUUCACUACGAGCACUUCAACUAUAUUGAGUCAUUGACUAUCCCAAUUCAAUAAUAUUAACGAUGUUGAAGUUCAACUCAUUCAUACGAUUCUCUAGCGUGUGUUCUCGCACAAGUUGCUAAAGAAGAUUGAGGCUUGUGACAUGGUAUAAGACCUGACUGGAAUAUCCACAAUAAAAAAUAAAGAGGAGGUUUACCAAUAUUGCAGACCAAUUUCUGGGUAAUGUGUUGCCGACUGUUCUCUAUUCAAACCAAUCCCUAUGAGACAAGAAUUGAAUUAUUACAAAGUUUGGCAUUCAUGUAAUUCCUGUGAAACCCUAUUGAGGCUACUGAUAUAAGUUUUGUCUGCAGUAAUAGUCGACUCUUUCUUAUCAGUAGGAGAGAACCAACAGCUUAAGCUUGACAUUUUUUUUGGGGUCUCUGAUGUAGAACAAGUUUAGAAAGGUUUAUGCA